rnacentral:rRNA from 1 species
GGCGAACGCUGGCGGCGUGCUUAACACAUGCAAGUCGAACGAAGUGGCGAACGGGUGCGUAACGCGUAAUCAACCUGCCCUUCAGAGGGGGACAACAGUUGGAAACGACUGCUAAUACCGCAUACUGAAGGAGGGGAUUGCGUCUGAUUAGCUAGUUGGAGGGUUAACGGCCCACCACGGCGAUGAUCAGGAGCCGGUUUGAGAGGAUGAACGGCAAAAUUGGGACUGGGACACGGCCAAGACUCCUAAGGGAGGAAUCAGUGGGGAAUCGUCCGAAAUGGACGAAAGUCUGACGGAGCAACGCCGCGUGAGUGAUGACGGCCUUCGGGUUGUAAAGCUCUGUUAAUCGGGACGCGGUACCGGAAUAGAAAGCCACGGCUAACUACGUGCCAGCAGCCGCGGUAAUAC